ensembl:lncRNA
UGGGUCCUUAGCGACAUCAUAGAGCCAGUGAACCCCCUGGGCCUCUCUGCCUGUCUGCUUUUGAUUGAGUCGGUUUGCUGCUGCUGCUGCUAAGUCGCUUCAGUCGUGUCCGACUUUGUGCGACCCCAUAGACGGCAGCCCACCAAGCUCUCCUCUCCCUGGGAUUCUCCAGAAAUAGAAUGCCAAGUUUUCAGCUGGACUCAUGGCUUUCACGUUUUCAAAGUGCAUGUGUGUGCGCUCAGUCAUGAUUGACUCUUUGCGACCCCGUGGACUGUAUCGCGCCAGGCUCCUCUGCCCCAUGGAAUUUUCAAGGCGUCCUUACUACAGAGACACUUGUCCUAAACGGUGGACUGGGGAAGAAGAAAUAUGGACAGACAGGUCUCUGAACCAUACCUAAACCCUGUGUCUCAACACUGAAGUCACAAGACUGCUAACUCUCCCUGUCUUUGCAGAGAGUGAGUGAGAGAUAUAUACCUAAGGGUUGAAUAGCUGUCUUCCUUGGUGGCUCAGAUGGUAAAGCAUCUGCCUACAAUGUGGGAGACCUGGGUUGGGAAAAACCUGCCUCCCCCACUCUACCCCCACCACCAGAGAAGGAAAUGGCAACCCACUCCAGCAUUCUUGCCUGGAGAAUCGCACGGAUGGAGGUUGAAUCUCCAAGAUGACAGAUGCUGCUGAUUCUCAUAUUCCAAAGUGAGGCCUAAAACUGCCUGAGCAGGACUUACAAUGGAGAAUCCAAUAAUUGAAUUCUGUCCUUAGGUGGCCACCAAGCUCUAGCCUAUAAAGAAAGGCUGUAAAACACCAGGGGACUGCAGAUCGGAUGAGUAGUUUUGGAGAGAGCUGUCACAGUGCUGAGGAUCCUAAUACCAAAACUCUCCCAUCCAGAUACUAACACACACAGGAGGGGGUGUGAGACACUUCAGCCUAGGGAAAGGGGUUUCAGUGGGUCCCCUCAGAACCUGAUCUGAAUCUCUAAGAGCUCAAGGGGACUUAGUUGCUGGUGUCUGAGUCACUCCUGAAAAAUCUAAAAGUUAGACCUGUGGCUAUGAUAG